rnacentral:lncRNA from 1 species
CACACAGUGGUACAUGCCUGUAAUCCCAGCUAAUCAGAAGGUGGAGGCAGGAGGAUUACAAAUUUGAAGUCAGCCUCAAUGACUUAGCAAGAUGCUGUCUCAAAAUAAAGAAUAAAAAAAAGACUGGGGAUGUAGCUCAAAUAAUAAAGUGCCCCUGGGUUCAAUUCCCAGUCCCAAAUUAAGAAAAGAUGACAUACUUUAUUAUUCCACUUAUAGAACAUUAUAGGAAAUGCAAAUUAAUAUAUAUUUGUAAUGUUUAGAUCCAUAGUUACUUCUAGAGCUAAGGAUUAACUGGGAAGGGGCAUUUGGGAACCUUAUAAAUUGAUGGAAAUGUUCUACAUUUUGAUCUGGUUAUACCAGUGUAUACAUGUAUAUAAAAUACAUCAAGAUGUACAAUGAAGAUUUGUGCACAUUUCUAUGUGAAUGCUGUCUCUCAACAAGUUUUUUUAGAAGCCCAGCUGAUUUUGUCACUCUCUUUCCUCUUUCCUCUUUCCUUUGACCCUCUUCUUUCUCCUUUUCUACAUCUCUCUUGUUUCGUUAUUUCUUAUAUCCUUUUGGGAGAGAGUUGAUGAUGCGUCAGGAACUGAUGCAUAUUCUGUCUUCAGUCCUGCCAAUCAGAUAUUCACAUGGUCCUGAAAUUUAAAAAAUGCAGAGGACAAUUUAUUCAAGAAAGUAGGAUAAAAGAAGUCUGUGGUUAAAUGAUAGCUCCUGGGAAUGUUUAUUUAUUCCUUCUUUUCCCAUGCACUUGGAUUAGAGAGCUAUUUG